rnacentral:misc_RNA from 1 species
GAUGAAGAACGUAGCGAAAUGCGAUACUUGGUGUGAAUUGCAGAAUCCCGUGAACCAUCGAGUCUUUGAACGCAAGUUGCGCCUCAAGCCAUUAGGUUGAGGGCACGUCUGCCUGGGCGUCACAUAUCGUUGCCUGAUGCCAGUUUCCUCGUGAUGGGUGACUGUGCAGGGCGAAUGAUGGCUUCCCGUGAGCAUUGUUGCCUCAUGGUUGGUUGAAAAUUGAGUCCUUGGUAGGGAGCGCCGUGAUAGAUGGUGGUUGAGUGACGAACGAGACCCAAUCAUGUGAGACCCCUACCGAAUUUGGCCUUCAUGACCCACACGCGUCUUUUGACGCUCAUGACGAGACCUCAGGUCAGGCGGGGCUACCCGCUGAAUUUAAGCAUAUCAAUAAGCGGAGGA